rnacentral:rRNA from 1 species
GACGAACGCUGGCGGCGUACUUAAUGCAUGCAAGUCGAGCGGGGUCCAUCCCGUGGCAACACGGGUGAAGACCUAGCGGCGAACGGGUGCGUAACACGUGAGCAACCUGCCCCGAAGUCUGGGAUAACACCGGGAAACCGGUGCUAAUACCGGAUGCCCCCACCGGACCGCAUGAUCUGGUGAGGAAAGAUUUAUCGCUUCGGGAGGGACUCGCGGGCUAUCAGCUUGUUGGUGGGGUAACGGCCUACCAAGGCAUCGACGGCUAGCUGGUCUGAGUGGACGACCAGCCACACGGGGACUGAGACACGGCCCAGACUCCUACGGGGGGCAGCAGCAGGGAGUAUUGCGCAAUGGGCGAAAGCCUGACGCAGUAACGCCGCGUGGGGGAUGAAGGCCCUCGGGUUGUAAACCCCUUUCAGCAGGGACGAAAUUGACGGUACCUGCAGAAGAAGCACCGGCCAACUACGUGCCAGCAGCCGCAGUAAUAC